rnacentral:rRNA from 1 species
AGGGUUUGAUCCUGGCUCAGAACGUACGCUGGCGGCACGCCUAACACAUGCAAGUCGAACGAAGUAGCAAUACUUAGUGGCAGACGGGUGAGUAACAUGUAGGUAUCUGCCCUUUGGCCUGGAAUAACACGAGGAAACUUGUGCUAAUACCGGAUAAGUCUUUACGGAGAAAGCUUUAUGCACCAUUGGAUGAGCCUGCACUUGAUUAGUUUGUUGGUGGGGUAACGGCCUACCAAGACUGUGAUCAAUAGCUGAUUUGAGAGGAUGAUCAGCCACAUUGGGACUGAGACACGGCCCAAACUCCUACGGGAGGCAGCAGUGGGGAAUCUUGCACAAUGGAGGAAACUCUGAUGCAGCGAUGCCGCGUGAGUGAAGAAGGCCUUUGGGUUGUAAAGCUCUUUCGUCGGGGAAGAAAAUGACUGUACCCGAAUAAGAAGGUCCGGCUAACUUCGUGCCAGCAGCCGCGGUAAUACGAAGGGACCUAGCGUAGUUCGGAAUUACUGGGCUUAAAGAGUUCGUAGGUGGUUGAAAAAGUUAGUGGUGAAAUCCCAGAGCUUAACUCUGGAACUGCCAUUAAAACUUUUCAGCUAGAGUAUGAUAGAGGAAAGCAGAAUUUCUAGUGUAGAGGUGAAAUUCGUAGAUAUUAGAAAGAAUACCAAUUGCGAAGGCAGCUUUCUGGAUCAUUACUGACACUGAGGAACGAAAGCAUGGGUAGCGAAGAGGAUUAGAUACCCUCGUAGUCCAUGCCGUAAGCGAUGUGUGUUAGACGUUGGAAAUUUAUUUUCAGUGUCGCAGCGAAAGCGAUAAACACACCGCCUGGGGAGUACGACCGCAAGGUUAAAACUCAAAUGAAUUGACGGGGACCCGCACAAGUAGUGGAGCAUGUGGUUUAAUUCGAAGAUACGCGCAGAACCUUACCAACACUUGACAUGUUCGUCGCGACUCUAAGAGAUUAGAGUUUUCGGUUCGGCCGGACGAAACACAGGUGCUGCAUGGCUGUCGUCAGCUCGUGUCGUGAGAUGUUGGGUUAAGUCCCGCAACGAGCGCAACCCUCACUUUUAGUUGCCAUCAUUAAGU